UGCUCCCGGGGGGCUUUCAGCCCGAGCACGGCUCCUGCUGCAGGCAAAAACUGUGUCCCCCGGGGCUGUGCCCGAGCCCGGGCUGUGCCGUCGCCGUCCCCCCGCAGCAGCCCUCGUGGCGUGCCCACGCUCCGGGCGGCGUUGCCGGCGUGGAGCCUGUCCCCGGGGAGCCGGGGGCUGCUCUCCGUGGGGACAUCUCGGCUGCAGGCUGGGGACGGGAUCAGGGGCUCGACCCCCUUGUGGGAGCCCCCCCCCCCCCCCCCCCGUGUGGGGAUUUGGAGGGCAGCAGUCGCCUUCUGUGCAGAAAGGGCUUGGACUUCGAUCGUGUUCCCUUCGCCCUGCUCUCACCGGGGUGGUUUUGUCACUUGGGUGCUCGCCGUGGGGGUGGUUGGGAGGCAUCCUCGGCUGCCCCAUCCCCGGUCUGCUGUCCCCCCCCUUGGCCGACGCCCCCCCGCAGCCCUCCUCGGGAGUUGAGCGUGGAGGCAGGGAUCCCUCCCCAGGCCCUGAACGAAGGCCGCCGGUUUGCCGUAGCCGCUGGUUUCAAGCAGGAGCCCAGAGGAAAACGGCUCCUGGUCUGUUGGCGUUCCCGGCCCCGUGGGGCGACCAACUCGUGCGGGAGCGACACGGGG